rnacentral:rRNA from 1 species
UACGUAGGGUGCGAGCGUUGUCCGGAAUUAUUGGGCGUAAAGAGCUUGUAGGCGGUUUGUUACGUCUGCUGUGAAAAUCCGGGGCUCAACCCCGGACUUGCAGUGGGUACGGGCAGACUAGAGUGUGGUAGGGGAGACUGGAAUUCCUGGUGUAGCGGUGAAAUGCGCAGAUAUCAGGAGGAACACCGAUGGCGAAGGCAGGUCUCUGGGCCACUACUGACGCUGAGAAGCGAAAGCAUGGGGAGCGAACAGG